UCCUUUAGAGAGAGAGAGAGAGAUGGAACGAGAAGGAACCAAGCAAGUGCUUAAGAAAGGUCCAUGGAAUCCAGAAGAAGACAGACUUCUUAAGAAAUACAUAGAAACUCAUGGAGAGGGAAAGUGGGCAACUGUUUCCAAGAGAUCAGGCUUGAUGAGAGGAGGAAAGAGCUGCAGACUGAGAUGGAAAAACUAUCUCCGGCCAAACAUUAAACGUGGAGGGAUGACAGAGGAAGAAGAAGACCUUAUCAUUAGAAUGCAUAAUCUUCUUGGCAACCGGUGGUCGUUGAUUGCAGGUAGGCUCCCUGGUCGAACUGAUAAUGAAGUAAAGAAUUACUGGAACACCCAUCUGAUUAAAAAGUAUCCUCAAUGCAAAAAAGUGGUCUCCGACUCAAAGAGGAGGAAGCUCUCUCAUUCAACCAAUUCUCAACCCAUUUGCAGCUCAAGUCCUAACAGCUCCACCAUGAAACUAGACGAUCAAGGUGGCGACAAGGCAACUACCUCCUCCUCCAAUGGCGUCAACAGAAGUGCCGACAACGACGUAGAAUCUCAGCUCUCUGCCGGCCAGGAGACAGUUUACGAGGACGAUUUUCUGCUGCAACUAGAACCCAACAUUUUGUUUGAAUCUCAGUUCUAUUUUCCUGAGGAAUUCUAUCCAGUCCUACUGUAGUCAGUUUGUUCAGGGAGGUGACUCAUAAUCUUCUACUUAUAUGUAACAGUCACUUCAUUGUCCCCUCUGUUCAGUGAAAAUACAGAAAUAUCAACAUAGAGCCACAUGCAUAUGUACAACCAUGAAUCGGAGCUGCUUCUUCAUGGCAUUACUUCACUUUCAUCAGCUCCCAUUGGCAGGAGAACUAAUGGCACUGGCACAUCUAUAUCUCAUGAUACAGCUCUAUGGUACGUAUAGAACCGUACGUAUCUACCUAAAGCCAUGACCAAAUAUGGGUUGAUUCAUUCUGUUGUCUGACUCCAACCACUGAAGGAUUUCAAAAGCCUGAAUUAUUUUAAAGAACACUUGAACUGUGUACUUUCGGAGAUCCAACAGGUAGAGUGUAGAGAUGCCGGUGAGAAUUAGAACUUCUAUUCUUUCUGAGAAAUACCGAAUCUAGUAGUCUACUAUCGAGAAUGGGGUGAAGUUUUGUCUUGUGAUUUACGCUUGCAAAUUGUAGAUCAAUUACUUUGAAAUCCUAAUUCCAAGCUUUUUUCA